UACGAAGGGGGCUAGCGUUGUUCGGAAUUACUGGGCGUAAAGCGCGCGCAGGCGGCUAUCCAAGUCAGUGGUGAAAGCCCGGAGCUCAACUCCGGAACUGCCAUUGAAACUGUUUAGCUAGAGUCCGGAAGAGGUAAGUGGAACUCCUAGUGUAGAGGUGGAAUUCGUAGAUAUUAGGAAGAACACCAGUGGCGAAGGCGGCUUACUGGUCCGGAACUGACGCUGAGGUGCGAAAGCGUGGGGAGCAAACAGG
rnacentral:rRNA from 1 species